UGCAAGUCGAACGAUGAACCUCCUUCGGGAGGGGAUUAGUGGCGAACGGGUGAGUAACACGUGGGCAAUCUGCCCUGCACUCUGGGACAAGCCCUGGAAACGGGGUCUAAUACCGGAUACUGACCCGCUUGGGCAUCCAAGCGGUUCGAAAGCUCCGGCGGUGCAGGAUGAGCCCGCGGCCUAUCAGCUUGUUGGUGAGGUAAUGGCUCACCAAGGCGACGACGGGUAGCCGGCCUGAGAGGGCGACCGGCCACACUGGGACUGA
rnacentral:rRNA from 1 species